rnacentral:rRNA from 1 species
CACACUGAACAUACCGCCCUCAACACGCCCAGUCUCCUCUGAUCUUGGAAGCUAAGCAGGGUUGGACCUGGUUAGUACUUGGAUGGGAGACUUCCUGGGAAUACUGGGUGCUGUAGGC